UAAAAAAAAUAAUAAAAAAAAAUUGUUCAAAAAAGCUAUGACAUUUGUCUAUAAGACCUCCAAAUAAUAUAAAAUUAAAAGAUAAACUAAGAAUAUAAACUGGAAUCAUAAAUACACCGUAUAAUCAUUCACAAAAUUACAACAUCAAUUCCUCCAUUGAAUCUUAUGGCCACAAAGCUUUACACUACUAGCUGGGACAUAGGCAUAAAUCACACUAGCAUUAUAGGCUCUAUAAAUCAAUAUAUAAAACAAACAAUAGUGAGGUUUAAUGUUAUAACUUUCAUCCAUGUUCAAUCUAUUUUUCAAGUUAACUCCCGUGUUGAACACUAGCACCAGAAUUUCAGCUCCUUUACCAGUUUGACAGUAUCCUUCAUUCAUAUAUAGGUGAUGAGUCAUUUGAAUUAGCAAUCCAUAUCAAGAUGCUCAUUCCUCAGCAAUCAUUUAACCGGUCUCACAACAAUGGUUUGAUGAUACAUCUUUAUGUUUCUUUUUCUUGUGAUUUUGAGUGAUGCAAGCUCCUCUGAUUUACAUGUUUCAAGGGUACAUGCCUUUGUCAUACUCAUUGAGGCAGAUUAGUUUGUAACGAAAAA
rnacentral:misc_RNA from 1 species